rnacentral:lncRNA from 1 species
CCACUUUUCCUCUUUAACAACUCUCACUCCAACUCAUCCUCCAUCACUAGCACAUACCUACUUUUGUCCAACUGAUUUCCUCUCCCUCAUCUCUCUCUUAUAUAAAAAACACACAUACUCACAAAUACAAAAACAUUCAGGGUGAGAUAGAUAGAGAGACAUUGAGAGGGGACGGAAAAGAAAAAAAAAACCAACGCCUCCUUCUUCUUCGCAAAAAGCAGCAUCCCCAAAAUUCAGUUGAAAAUAGCACCAAAAAUCACCUUUCUUCCUCAUCGAGACUUCACCCAAAAAUCAUGGUCGAACAAGGUCAGUCGAGGUCGCCGGAAAGUUUCCGCUCGUGGUCAAAUUUACUCUUAGAUCAAGUUCCAUCAUUCAGAAAUUUUUAUUUGUAUUUUCCUUGUCUCUAAGGUUCGUCCUUUUCACCUCCUGCUUCAAUAAAUUUCUGCCUUGUUUAGCAAAUGUCCUAUUGUUCUUGGUCUACUUGUUUCAGUUAAAUUUAGCAUGUUAAGAUAUGAGUUUGCAUUUAAUAGAUUUUGGGGUUGCAAUAAUUUGAGAAAUUUGGUAUUACGCUUUGCUCAAAUUCAUUGAUCUUGUAAUUUACGGCAAAAGUUUUAGUAUAGGAAUUUAAAAUUUGAAAAGCUCACUCAAGGCCCACUUUCUUGUUCAUUACUGCCUUUUUCAUAUUUAUAUUUGCCUUGUUAAGAGUUUUGAGUGCUUUAUGUGUUUAUUUCUUUAGCUUUGCAUAAAAAUUUGUUUCAUGUUGGCUAUUUUAUUUGGAUAAUUUUAGAAACUGCAGAGAACUUUGAAAGGCAUGACUAAGAAUUUUUGUCCGUGUGUUUUAAGAUUAAAGAAGGUAAAAUAUGAAUUGGGAAAUGGACUGCUAAGACAAAUGAGGUCGCAGAUUACUUGGGUGAAAUCGAGAAGCAGAUUAUGAAUUUCGGGAUUUGUUUGGUUGCAUAAGAAUUAAAUUUGGACUCGAAUGAGUUAAUUAAAUUUUUGCGCAGCCCGACAAUAAUAAGAGACGUGAAAGCUAGCCUAUCUUUUCAUAAUAGCUAAAUUUAUACAUUUCUUCCACAAGCAAUUCUAUAAUUCAUGACCUUAUAAUAAUCUCUAAAUUUAAGAAGAAUAAUAAACAUCGUUAGAGUGCUUUAGGCACGCUUUUAACUAGUUUAUCACGAUUAUGUAUAUGCUCGCAUGUCAUAAUUGUGAUUUUCAAAAUUAAAAUCGAAGUAUGUGUUCGCGCAACUUUGACCAAAACAAUCUUAGUAUAAUAAAAUGCUAUUAAUUGUGAACACGUAAACGUGACAUGAUUUUGGCACAAUAAACGAAACGGAUUCACACACGUGAUUCGUUUCAAAGAUAAUUUUAUAUUUUAAUAAUUAAAAGCGGAUAGAUAAAAUAUGAAAACAAUAAAUUAAAGUUUAUCCAAAAUAAUUCAAGCCAAGUUGUAGUCAAUAAAGCGACCGUGCUAGAACCACGGGACUCGGGGAAUGCUUUACACCUUCUCUUCGGUCAACAGAAUUCCUUAUCCGAACUUUGUUUUCGCAGACCAAUAAUAAAAGAGUCAAACCUUCCUUUGAUUAGGGAUUCAAAUAAAAGGUGACUUGGAACACCAAAAAUCAAUUCCAAGUGGCGAUUCUGAAUAACAAAAUAAUCCCUAUUUCAAAAUUUUACUUUAAUUGGAAAAAUUCUUUAACCCACAAUCUAUAAAACAUACAUAUCUUUUUGGGGUAGAAAAGGGGUGUGACAGUGAGUACACGAAGUUUUCACUAAGAUGCAUCACAUACAGUAUGUAUAUUGGCAUGUAGAUAUAGAGAUGUAAUAUUCCUCAUAUUGUUCAGAAUUGAUCUAUUUUUUUUACUUGUGCUGAGUUUAACUGUUCAACUUGAAAGCAUGCCUACAUUUCUGUACCGUUAUUUCUAUACUGGACUGUACCUGCUAAGCUUGUCACUACUUUCAGCCUAUAGGUUAAUCUUGUUACUUAUUGAGUUGGUUGUACUCAUACUAUACUCCGCACAUCGUGUGCAGAUCCAGGUGCUCCCGGAUACGUCAGUUGCUAGACUUGGUGAUUUAUAUGCUGGAGACAAUCAAGGUAGCUGCUUGGCGUCUGCAGACCUUGUCUCUCUUCCCUUCAGUUAUGGUGUUGUUCUAUAUUUUUUAGACAGUGUUCUUAUCAGUCAUACUAUUAUUAUUAUUAUUUAGACGCUCAUGUACUUAGUGAUACCAGAUUUUGGGAGUGUAUUUUGUAUCAGUAUGUGUGAGAUUUUUCUAUUAAAUUUAUAUAUUAUAUUUUCAAACUUAAAAGAAAUUGUGGCUUAUUGAGGUUGUGGGCUUGCCUAGUAUUGAGAUAGGCGCCAUCACGACAUGCGAAUUUUGGAUCGUGAUAAUUCUACCCUUAUUUAUGUCUUAAAA